rnacentral:rRNA from 1 species
AGGUAACGCGUAUGCAACCUGCCUCGCACAGGGGGAUAACGGAGUGAAAAUUCCACUAAUAUCCCAUGGUGUUGGAGAUCCGCAUGGUUUUCCAACUAAAGCUUCGGUGGUGCGAGAUGGGCAUGCGUGACAUUAGGUAGUUGGCGGGGCAACGGCCCACCAAGCCGACGAUGUCUAGGGGAGCUGAGAGGCUUAUCCCCCCACACUGGUACUGAGACACGGACCAGACUCCUACGGGAGGCAGCAGUGAGGAAUAUUGGUCAAUGGACGGAAGUCUGAACCAGCCAUGCCGCCGUGGAGGAAGAAGGUCCUAUGGGUUGUAAACUCCUUUUGUCCGAGAGUAAUAAGGGGCAUGCGUGCCCCGAUGAGAGUAUCGGGCGAAUAAGCAUCGGCUAACUCCGUGCCAGCCGCCGC